rnacentral:rRNA from 2 species
GAGACCCGUGCCCACUGUUACCAGCAUGUCCUCCGGGAUGAUGGGUACUCUGUGGGGACCGCCGGUGUUAAAUCGGAGGAAGGUGCGGGCCACGGUAGGUCAGUAUGCCCCGAAUUUCCCGGGCUACACGCGGGCUACAAUGAAUGGGACAAUGGGUCCCUCCCCUGAAAAGGGCUGGUAAUCUCACAAACCCAUCCGUAGUUCGGAUCGAGGGCUGUAACUCGCCCUCGUGAAGCUGGAAUCCGUAGUAAUCGCGUUUCAAUAUAGCGCGGUGAAUAC